CCUACGGGGGGCACCAGUGGGGAAUAUUGGACAAUGGGGGGAACCCUGAUCCAGCCAUGCCGCGUGUGUGAAGAAGGCCUUAUGGUUGUAAAGCACUUUAAGCGAGGAGGAGGCUACUUUAGUUAAUACCUAGAGAUAGUGGACGUUACUCGCAGAAUAAGCACCGGCUAACUCUGUGCCAGCAGCCGCGGUAAUACAGAGGGUGCGAGCGUUAAUCGGAUUUACUGGGCGUAAAGCGUGCGUAGGCGGCUUAUUAAGUCGGAUGUGAAAUCCCCGAGCUUAACUUGGGAAUUGCAUUCGAUACUGGUGAGCUAGAGUAUGGGAGAGGAUGGUAGAAUUCCAGGUGUAGCGGUGAAAUGCGUAGAGAUCUGGAGGAAUACCGGUGGCUAAGGCGGCCCCCUGGACAAAGACUGACGCUCAGGUGCGAAAGCGUGGGGAGCAAACAGGAUUAGAUACCCCUGUAGUC
rnacentral:rRNA from 1 species